GUGGGGAUUCCUUCCGGUCCGACGCCACUUGGCUUCUGCUCCGGUGCCCCCGUUCUUCUUCCAAUCCAGCAAGAUGGUGCACAACAGAGCCGGCUGUGUGUGGAGUGCGCGGGAAGAUUCUUCUUCCACUCCGGCAGUCUGAUCCCAGCUUGAGCAGCAGUUGGAGUUAGCCAAGCGAGGCAGCGUGAGCACUAGGAGAGGGAGGGGAGAAGGAGAACUUAGGUUGCAUGGCACCAAUGGUCGGCUCCUUAUCCAGAAUCACGCGUCGGGAAAGGAGGUUCGAGGACUGCUUCUUCUUGGGACGCCACAUCCAUCGAGCUCUUACCCCAUCACCGCUGCCAUCCAUGGAGCUCUGACCUAUGGCCAACAAUUCGUCAUGGUGCACGAAAGACCCAGCGUGUGGUGUGCAUGUGGAAUUCUUCUUCACACUCAAACACAGGUUAUGAUAUCCAUGCUGGAGGAGUAGGAGGGCAACGGGCAAGUAAUAAUAGGAACCACCAUGAGCCUCACUAUGCGCUAUCCUGGUGAAACUGUUGGGUGCAACGGUGAUGGGCAAGACGAGCAUGUAGAAAGAGACCACAACAGCAGCAGGAUAAGACAUAGUUGUUGAAGACUUGAAAUACACAUGAAUGUACAUGUUUCGAUCUGAUCUCCCCUUAAUCUGGAUUGCCUUCUCUUCACAUGUAUGGUUGGUAUGUUUAGUGAAGCUUCUCAAUAGGAGCUGGAGUCAGUUUUCUAGUGAUGGACUAGGAUUGAAGCUACUCGACGAGGCACAAACAUGCUACUAUCUUGCUAGGCUGUGGUCUUCAGUUCAUGUCGUGGCUGGGUUGUUGCCAGUUACUUCAACUAAGCCUGUUCGGACUCUCUCCGCUCUCCAACUCCACGCCGGAGCGGAGCAACAUCUAGUUCUAAUUUGGGGAGUGGCUGAAAAGGUGCUCCACGCGCUCUGCUCCAAACAGGGCCUUAGUUGAUGAUGUGAUUGGAUUCCAUAUGA